rnacentral:rRNA from 1 species
UACGUAGGGUGCGAGCGUUAAUCGGAAUUACUGGGCGUAAAGCGUGUGCAGGCGGUCUGUUAAGACAGGUGUGAAAUCCCCGGGCUUAACCUGGGAAUUGCGCUUGUUACUGGCAGACUAGAGUGCGUCAGAGGGAGGUGGAAUUCCACGUGUAGCAGUGAAAUGCGUAGAGAUGUGGAGGAACACCGAUGGCGAAGGCAGCCUCCUGGGAUGACACUGACGCUCGUACACGAAAGCGUGGGGAGCAAACAGG